AGAGCGAACGCUGGCGGCAUGCUUAACACAUGCAAGUCGAGCGGAAAGGCCCUUCGGGGUACUCGAGCGGCGAACGGGUGAGUAACACGUGAGCAACCUGCCCUUAGCUUCGGGAUAGCUCCGGGAAACCGGAAUUAAUACCGAAUAUGACUUUGGCUGACAUCAGCAGAAGUGGAAAGUUUUUCGGCUAGGGAUGGACUCGCGGCCUAUCAGCUAGUUGGUGAGGUAACGGCCCACCAAGGCGACGACGGGUA
rnacentral:rRNA from 1 species